GAUGAACGCUAGCUACAGGCUUAACACAUGCAAGCCGAGGGGCAGCAUUUUAGUUUGCUUGCAAACUGAAGAUGGCGACCGGCGCACGGGUGAGUAACACGUAUCCAACCUGCCGAUAACUCCGGGAUAGCCUUUCAAAAGAAAGAUUAAUACCGGAUAGCAUACGAAUAUCGCAUGAUAUUUUUAUUAAAGAAUUUCGGUUAUCGAUGGGGAUGCGUUCCAUUAGUUUGUUGGCGGGGUAACGGCCCACCAAGACUACGAUGGAUAGGGGUUCUGAGAGGAAGGUCCCCCACAUUGGAACUGAGACACGGUCCAAACUCCUACGGGAGGCAGCAGUGAGGAAUAUUGGUCAAUGGGCGCGAGCCUGAACCAGCCAAGUAGCGUGAAGGAUGAAGGCUCUAUGGGUCGUAAACUUCUUUUAUAUGGGAAUAAAGUUUUCCACGUGUGGAAUUUUGUAUGUACCAUAUGAAUAAGGAUCGGCUAACUCCGUGCCAGCAGCCGCGGUAAUACGGAGGAUCCGAGCGUUAUCCGGAUUUAUUGGGUUUAAAGGGAGCGUAGGUGGAUUGUUAAGUCAGUUGUGAAAGUUUGCGGCUCAACCGUAAAAUUGCAGUUGAAACUGGCAGUCUUGAGUACAGUAGAGGUGGGCGGAAUUCGUGGUGUAGCGGUGAAAUGCUUAGAUAUCACGAAGAACUCCGAUUGCGAAGGCAGCUCACUAGACUGUCACUGACACUGAUGCUCGGAAGUGUGGGUAUCAAACAGGAUUAGAUACCCUGGUAGUCCACACAGUAAACGAUGAAUACUCGCUGUUUGCGAUAUAUAGUAAGCGGCCAAGCGAAAGCAUUAAGUAUUCCACCUGGGGAGUACGCCGGCAACGGUGAAACUCAAAGGAAUUGACGGGGGCCCGCACAAGCGGAGGAACAUGUGGUUUAAUUCGAUGAUACGCGAGGAACCUUACCCGGGCUUAAAUUGCAACAGAAUAUAUUGGAAACAGUAUAGCCGUAAGGCUGUUGUGAAGGUGCUGCAUGGUUGUCGUCAGCUCGUGCCGUGAGGUGUCGGCUUAAGUGCCAUAACGAGCGCAACCCUUAUCUUUAGUUACUAACAGGUCAUGCUGAGGACUCUAGAGAGACUGCCGUCGUAAGAUGUGAGGAAGGUGGGGAUGACGUCAAAUCAGCACGGCCCUUACGUCCGGGGCUACGCACGUGUUACAAAGGGGGGUACAGAAGGCGGCUACCUGGUGACAGGAUGCUAAUCCCAAAAACCUCUCUCAGUUCGGAUCGAAGUCUGCAACCCGACUUCGUGAAGCUGGAUUCGCUAGUAAUCGCGCAUCAGCCAUGGCGCGGUGAAUACGUUCCCGGGCUUUGCUCACACCGCCC
rnacentral:rRNA from 1 species